AUAUGAACCCAUGAACCAUGUCAGGUCCUGACGGAAGCAGCAUUAAGUGGAUCCUCGUAUGUGCCGUAGGGUAGCCGAGAUUUAGCUGUCGACUCUGGUAACGUUUGUGAUGCACAUUCGACACAGAGGUGCACGG
rnacentral:SRP_RNA from 1 species